AUUGAACGCUGGCGGCAGGCCUAACACAUGCAAGUCGGGCGGAGCGGCGGACGGGUGAGUAAUGUAUGGGGAUCUGCCUGAGGGAGGGGGAUAACUACUGGAAACGGUAGCUAAUCCCGCAUACCAUCAGAUUAACCCAUAUGGGAUUAGCUUGUAGGUGAGGUAACGGCUUACCUAGGCGACGAUCCCUACCUGGUCUGAGAGGUUGAUCGGCCACACUGGGACUGAGACACGGCCCAGACUCCUACGGGAGGAAGCAGUGGGGAAUAUUGGACAAUGGGCGAAAGCCUGAUCCAGCCAUGCCGCGUGUGUGAAGAAGGUCUUCGGAUUGUAAAGCACUUUAAGUUGGGAGGCGUUACCAACAGAAUAAGCACCGGCUAACUCCGUGCCAGCAGCCGCGGUAAUUC
rnacentral:rRNA from 1 species